rnacentral:rRNA from 1 species
GCGUGAGCGAUGAAGGCCUUCGGGUCGUAAAGCUCUGUCCUCAAGGAAGAUAAUGACGGUACUUGAGGAGGAAGCCCCGGCUAACUACGUGCCAGCAGCCGCGGUAAUACGUAGGGGGCUAGCGUUAUCCGGAUUUACUGGGCGUAAAGGGUGCGUAGGCGGUCUUUCAAGUCAGGAGUGAAAGGCUACGGCUCAACCGUAGUAAGCUCUUGAAACUGUAAGACUUGAGUGCAGGAGAGGAGAGUGGAAUUCCUAGUGUAGCGGUGAAAUGCGUAGAUAUUAGGAGGAACACCAGUUGCGAAGGCGGCUCUCUGGACUGUAACUGACGCUGAGGCACGAAAGCGUGGGGAGCAAACAGGAUUAGAUACCCUGGUAGUCCACGCCGUAAACGAUGAGUACUAGCUGUCGGAGGUUACCCCCUUCGGUGGCGCAGCUAACGCAUUAAGUACUCCGCCUGGGAAGUACGCUCGCAAGAGU